GAGUUGGGCCUGCUCGGUGAAGAAUGAUUUAACAGCUGCAGUAUAUCUGUACUAAGGUAGCAUAAUAAUUUGCCUUAUAAAUUGAGGCUGGAAUGAAUGGUUUGACGAGAAUUUAGCUGUCUCUAUUUUAUUUAUUAGAAAUUAAUUUUUAUAGUGAAAAAGCUUGGAUAAUUUAAAGGGACGAGAAGACCCUAUUGAGCUUGUAUGUAAUAUAUUAAAUAUUUAAGUUAUUAAAUAAAAUAAAAGAAUUGAAAAUUUAAUUAAUUUAAUUUGAUUGGGGUGAUCAAGGAAUAAAAUUAUUUUAAUAACUUCCUUAUUUUAAUAGUUUAAUUGAAAUAUAAACCAAUUUUUUGCUUUUAGAUAAGUUACCAUAGGGGUAACAGCGUAAUUUUUUUUAAGAGUUCAUAUUGAAAAAAGAGAUUGCGACCUCGAUGUUGGAUUAAAAAC
rnacentral:rRNA from 1 species